rnacentral:rRNA from 1 species
GACGAGCGCUGGCGGCGUGCUUAACACAUGCAAGUCGAACGGAAAGGCCCUGCUUUUGUGGGGUGCUCGAGUGGCGAACGGGUGAGUAACACGUGAGUAACCUGCCCUUGACUUUGGGAUAACUUCAGGAAACUGGGGCUAAUACCGGAUAGGAGCUCCUGCUGCAUGGUGGGGGUUGGAAAGUUUCGGCGGUUGGGGAUGGACUCGCGGCUUAUCAGCUUGUUGGUGGGGUAGUGGCUUACCAAGGCUUUGACGGGUAGCCGGCCUGAGAGGGUGGCCGGCCACAUUGGGACUGAGAGACGGCCCAGACUCCUACGGGGGGCAGCAGUGGGGAAUAUUGCACAAUGGGCGGAAGCCUGAUGCAGCAACGCCGCGUGCGGGAUGACGGCCUUCGGGUUGUAAACCGCUUUCGCCUGUGACGAAGCGUGAGUGACGGUAAUGGGUAAAGAAGCACCGGCUAACUACGUG